UACGUAGGGUGCAAGCGUUGUCCGGAAUUAUUGGGCGUAAAGAGCUCGUAGGCGGUUUGUCGCGUCUGCUGUGAAAACUCAGGGCUUAACCCUGAGCCUGCAGUGGGUACGGGCAGACUAGAGUGUGGUAGGGGAGAUCGGAAUUCCUGGUGUAGCGGUGGAAUGCGCAGAUAUCAGGAGGAACACCGGUGGCGAAGGCGGAUCUCUGGGCCAGUAACUGACGCUGGAGGAGCGAAAGCAUGGGGAGCGAACAGGA
rnacentral:rRNA from 1 species